AGUUACAAAUUCUGCUGCAAACAUGCAAGUUACCUUAUGUUUAUCCUUUUCAAUUUCCUAAUCAAUGGUCUUCUUUCAGUUUUGAGGGGCUUUUGAACGUUUAUUGGUUAUCUUAGUGCUUGGUUUUGAAAGUUAAAAUUUAUAUUUUCCCCCCUAAAAUUUAUGCCCCUAGAUUGUGAAAUGACUUAAGAUUAAUUUUCGGAUUCUUUUUGUUUGAGCAUUUAUUGUGCUUAAAGUUCAUCUUAACUGCAUUUGGGGUAAAAAUAUUGCUGUUUUUUCCCCUACCGUCUUUUCUAUAUUUUAGUACCCUUUUUGCUGUUUAUUUUUCUCAGUAGCCUUUGAUUUAGAUCAUACGGUUUGUUGUAGGUAGCUGAAGUUAAUGCUUGAGAGUAGAAAUAUUUAUAUUUGUAAGUGAAAUUGUGUUCAUUUUAGCACAGGUACAGUGAUUAUAUAUUCCAUCUGUUUUCUUCUUUGUUCCAUCAUCUCAGAAUAAUCUCUAUUACUGGGUGCAGGAUUCCCCUAUCUUCAA
rnacentral:misc_RNA from 1 species